rnacentral:tRNA from 1 species
GCAAUGGUGGUUUGUGGCAGAAUUCUCGCCUUCCAUGUGGGAGACCCGGGUUCGAUUCCCGCCGAUGCA